CUCCUCUUUAUUGGCCAUUCUUGCCUUACAUUUCCUAUCGUCCUGGCCCCAGGUCAAAUUGUUCAUGAUAUUUUCAACUAUGAGAUUCUGUUUUUCCUUGUUGAACUGCAGAAAUGUAUUAUAACUUCAAAAACGCUUUUCUGUUUUCCAGAGAAGGAGCAAAUGUCAAAAUACUUCAGGAGUGGUCUUGAGCCAGAAUUCCUUUGUGGCUCCAUGAUGUAAAGGUCCAUAGAGAGACCCAAAUGGUAAUAGCAACCAACCAUUUAAGGUACUUUAUGACCCAGGCUGCCUUCUGGAUCAGAAAGAUACUCAAAGCUGUAAAGCUCACACAAAGCCAGGCUUUGUUAUCACCUGAGUGUGCAGAAGGACACUAAUCCUGAGUAUGUGCCACCUCGUACACCUCUCACAUGCUUCUCCGUUUUCCCCACUUCACUCUCCUGGGUUCAUUCCAAGAUAGAGAAUGGAAGAAACCAGAGCUGAACUUGUGUGCCUGCAGUCCAGCUGUUAUGCCUGGAGAUGAGUUGUUCUGAACCUAUGGACAUUAAGUUUAGAGUAUGUGGGAAACACUCUCUGCUUUAGCAGAUUUGGUCUUGGGCCAUACCUGCUGCUCUGAGCUCUGACAGUGUGGCCGUGGAAGGACUGUGACGCGAGCCCAAUUUGCUCUUGGAAACGGCCUGCUCUGUUUUCCUUUGCUUUGAGCCCCGAUAUGGUCACAGCCUCUACUUUGGUCUCUCCUCAACACAGCUGAUGCCAACUGCUAUUCCCACGUAGCUGUGUUACCAAGGCCCAGGAUUCUUUUUUCAAUUAGAAAAUAUUUUUGCAAACAUUUUAAAGAACACAUAUUGUGCUUUUUCUUAUUAUAAAGUAAGACAUAUUCAAUGUAGAGAAUUUGGCAAAUACUGAAAAAUAUAAAUUUUUAAAAGCAAGCAUGAAUUCUGAUUCUGCCGGUCGGAGACAACCACUGUUAACAUUUUGUGAAAUUUCUCAUAGAUUUUUAAUCUAGAACCACAGGAAUUUCUAUGAUAGGAUGCUAUAAAAUAUGCUGUUAGACAUUCCAUUUUUUCUCUUAGUAACAUUUUGUGACUGUUUCCUCAUUUUAUUUAAGUAGUCUAUGCAGCCACAUUUAGAUAUGCUUAUGUGUGUGUCCACAUAUACAGAAUGCUUUCCAGCAAUGUAUUUCAUAAUUUAGCAUUGCCCUUAGGCAGGGACCCAUCCAGUAUUCCUACAUAGCAUUACCCUCCCAUUUGUGGUACAGCUACCACAAACCAUGCAUUUUGAUGUUUUACUCCUUACUCUUCAUGCCUAAUUGCAUUUUCUUCAUUUCUUAUUUUUUACAUCAAUUUUUUUUAAAUCUAGUAAUACAGUGCUUAUAAAAAAAGACAAAAAGCCAUCUGUCUGUUUACCACCUAAGAAUCAGCUAUCUCCAGAAGAGAGAUAUUUUUGUUUGAGUUCGUCUAUCAGGGCUGUUUAAUUUUGAAAAGUAUAAAAAAUUAGCUGGCCGGGCGCAGUGGCUCAUGCCUGUAAUCCCAGCACUUUGGGAAGCCGAGGCGGGCGGAUCACAAAGUCAGGAGAUCGAGACCAUCCUGUCUAAGACAGUGAAACCCCGUCUCUACUAAAAAUACAAAAAUUAGCUGGGAGUGGUGGCGGGCGCUUGUAGUCCCAGCUGCUGGGGAGGCUGAGGCAGGAGAAUGGCGUGAACCCAGGGAGCAGAGCUUGCAGUGAGCAGAGAUCACACCACUGCACUCCAGCCUGGGUGACAGAGCAAAACUCCAUCCCCCAAAAAUAAAUAAAUAAAUAAAUAAAUAAAUAAAUAAAUA
rnacentral:lncRNA from 1 species